rnacentral:rRNA from 1 species
AUUGAACGCUGGCGGCAUGCCUUACACAUGCAAGUCGAACGGCAGCACGGGAGCAAUCCUGGUGGCGAGUGGCGAACGGGUGAGUAAUGUAUCGGAACGUACCUUUCAGUGGGGGAUAACGUAGCGAAAGUUACGCUAAUACCGCAUAUUCUGUGAGCAGGAAAGCAGGGGAUCGCAAGACCUUGCGCUGAUUGAGCGGCCGAUAUCAGAUUAGCUAGUUGGUGAGGUAAAGGCUCACCAAGGCGACGAUCUGUAGCGGGUCUGAGAGGAUGAUCCGCCACACUGGAACUGAGACACGGUCCAGACUCCUACGGGAGGCAGCAGUGGGGAAUUUUGGACAAUGGGCGCAAGCCUGAUCCAGCCAUGCCGCGUGAGUGAAGAAGGCCUCGGUGUAAGU